rnacentral:tRNA from 1 species
GGGGUAGAGCAGUGGUUAGCUCGUCAGGCUCAUAACCUGGAGGCCGUAGGUUCAAAUCCUAUCCCCG